UUCCACCAUGAUUGUGAGGCCUUCCCAGCCCUCUGGAACUAGAUAUUCUGCUGUAUAAAGAAUGCAAAGAAGAGGCCAAGUGUGAAGGCUCUUCCGUGGCCAAGGAGGGUAUUGCCAGCCAUGCUGAAUGCUGCUGUUGAGAGUUUGAGUAAGAUGAGAACAGAACUGUGCAGUGGAUUUGGCAACAUGGAGGUCAUUUGAUGACCUUGACAAGAACACUGGAGAGAAAGAAAACUUGGGCAGAGCCACCUCACAGAUGGGAUAGGAGAAAUUCAACACAGACGAGCCUUGAGACAUGAGAGCUAG